GUGAAUCAUCGAAUUUUUGAACGCAUAUUGCACUCCCCGGCAUUCCGGGGAGUAUGCCUGUUUCAGCAUCAGAAUCAUCCUCGAGCCCACGAGACGGACUCCUAUCUCGUAUGCCGUCUUCUGCUUGAAAAAAAAAACUAAAAUCCAAGACAAGCUCAUUUUCUUGGGUUGCGUGAUACUUUCAGUUACCUCGUAACUUAACCAGGAAUAAUGGGGCGUGUUAUGAAUUUUGCA
rnacentral:misc_RNA from 1 species